rnacentral:rRNA from 1 species
GGCUCAGAACGAACGCUGGCGGCAGGCUUAACACAUGCAAGUCGAGCGCCCCGCAAGGGGAGCGGCAGACGGGUGAGUAACGCGUGGGAAUCUACCCUUGACUACGGAAUAACGCAGGGAAACUUGUGCUAAUACCGUAUGUGUCCUUCGGGAGAAAGAUUUAUCGGUCAAGGAUGAGCCCGCGUUGGAUUAGCUAGUUGGUGGGGUAAAGGCCUACCAAGGCGACGAUCCAUAGCUGGUCUGAGAGGAUGAUCAGCCACAUUGGGACUGAGACACGGCCCAAACUCCUACGGGAGGCAGCAGUGGGGAAUAUUGGACAAUGGGCGCAAGCCUGAUCCAGCCAUGCCGCGUGAGUGAUGAAGGCCCUAGGGUUGUAAAGC